GCUCUCACAAUUCCGGAGACGCAAGUGGAGGAUCCUGGUGUUAUCUGUCUUGUCCUUCCUGUUUCUUCGACGCCUAUUUCAUCGAGAAACCAAAAAGAGGACAAAGAAGUUUAGGGAACUAAUAGAGGAAGGACUACAGAUUGAUCCACCUAUUGUGGACGAUUAUGUAUACGAUGAAAUAAUGGGGGGAAAUCUGAGAGAGAAAAUUGCCAUAUAUAUGACUACGGCAAAGGAUUUACCCCAUAAUACAGAGCGCAACAACACCUUGCACACACCUCUACAAAUGAUGGAAAACUCGUCAGUAAGUAUUGCGUCGAGAAACCAAAGUCUUUUGAAGAUCGCGUCUUCUAGCGUAUCCGUGAAAUCAUCCAAGAAGACGUUUGGAGUUAAAAACUUAACGUCAGACUUGUCUUACUUUACCUGGAAGAAGAACAAUUCAAAAGCGUAUGCUAUGACAACACCAAAGGAAGUAUCCAAAAAUAUAAAGCGUAACAACACCUUGCACACACCUCUACAAAUUACGAAAAACUUGUCAGUAAAUGUGGCUUCGAGAAACCAAAGUCUACUGAAGGUUGCGUCUUCUAGCUUGUCCAUCAAACAAUCCAAGAAAACUUUUGUGGCUCAAAACUUUUCUUUAGAUUCGUCUUCCGUUAAAUGGGGGAACAACGCUUCAAAAACCUUCACAAACUUGACCGAAGUUACUAAAUACUCUUCUGUUGCAAACUUGACAUCCACUAAUAAUACCGAAAAAAAGCAGUCCACUGACGAAACGUCUUUCAUAUUCGAGGAUUCGUGGAAGGCUAAGCUAAAGGGUGUAGAGGGAGGAAAAUGGCGUCCAGCUAAGAGUCGAAAGCACCCACCGGAGAAGGUGGCCAUAUUGGUACCGUACAGAGAAAGAGAAAAGCAUUUAAAGAUGUUUCUUCUCAUAAUGCACCCCUUUCUUCAACGGCAAAAUCUAGAUUACAGUGUCUACGUCAUAGAACAGCAUGGGGACGAACCAUUGUUCUGCAAGGGGUUGCUCUACAACAUCGGCUUCAUGUUGGCCAAACAAGAUAAUGGUUUCGACUGUUUCAUUUUUCACGAUGUUGAUCUCAUUCCCGAAAGCGACGAAAACCUCUAUUCGUGUAAAGGUUCUCCUAGCCAUUUGUCGGUUGCUAUUGAUGUCUAUAACUACUCGCUACCUUACGCGCGUUUCUUGGGUGGAGUAGUGGCUUUUACACCAUGGCAGUUCGAAAAGAUGAACGGAUAUUCGAACUUGUUCUGUGGAUGGGGAGGGGAAGAUGACGACUUGUUUCUGCGGUUGUACAGACAAAAGAUGACGCUUUUCCGACCGGACGAAGACGUCGGCAGGUAUAAGAUGAUGAGACACAACAGGACACCGGAAAACCCCAACGCACGUAAUCUUCUUGACGUGUGGGACUUAAGGGCACGUAAAGACGGCCUGAACAGUCUUAAACGGCAAAGGGAACAUUUUAAGAUUACUUCGGUUACUCGAGAGUGGUUAUAUACUCACAUAUUAGUUAACAUGGGGAAAAGGGAUGAUGCAAGAUAGUGAUUUUGAGUUGUUGGAAUUGACAUUGAUAUCUUAAUGAUACAUAUACAUGUUUAAUGAUAAAAUUAAAUGAAUAGGACCAGCAUAUAUAUCUACAUGCACUCAAUCCGACAUAGUACACUUAAUGAAAUUUAUGAGAUGGUUAUAUACUCGCAUAUUAGUCAAGGAAAAGAGAUGGUGCAUAAUAGUGAUCUUGAGCUGUUGAAGUUGGCAUUGAUAUUUUAAUGAACAGGAAAAUAUUAUACAUAUUUAUCCAACAUACAUGUACUUACUCGUAGUACACACACGUCUUGAUUAAAUUAAUGAGAAUGCUUAAGACCCCGUUGUUCAAAUUUAACAUUUUAUAAUUUGUAAAAGGACACGUAAGUUUGGAUUCAGUUUUUUAUUUAUCAUUCAAUAGGUAAUAUAUAACACUUGAUUAUUGCAUGACGUUAAUAAGGUUGUUUAAAGCACAAAGCACACUGAUUAUUAAAUGCUGCACUUUUACAGGCAUUUUUGCAAAUUUUCCAGGGCUCAGUUGUAAAUUUCUCAAAUUUCUUUCCUCUAGUCUAAAAAUUGUAAUAUAGGCGAUAUCUGUUAUUGUUUAUAGACCUUCCUCACACGUUCCGUAAACAUUAUAGACAUACCCAAAACAGGAUAUGCCGCGCCGAGUUAGUUUUAACGCGUUCAUUCAGUAACAGGUCACCGUGCAAAGCAGCCAGAACACAGCCCUGUGCCACAUAGUCUCACCUUGGGAUCGACACUUGUAUCCUGCAGAGUUCCACUGGCUGUGAACGUAUCGAACGCUGCAGUUGGGUCGAGAGAAACGAGCAUCAUUGUACAGUAGAUGUCAACGGCAGGUAUUGCAGAGAAGGGUGUCCAAGGCGAAGUCAAGAUGGUCCGGCUAACGCGCUGUUUCUCAAGGCGCAAGUGGAACGCCGUCUUGCUGAUCGUACUGUCCGUCGUCUUGCUUCUACGACUCCUUCACCAGACAAGCGGGAAACAUCUACUGAAGGACGAAGGAGAA